rnacentral:rRNA from 1 species
AGAUCCAAUAGCGUAUAUUAAAUUUGUUGCAGUUUAAAAGAUCGUAGUUGAACUUGUGGUUUGUUUGGCUUGGUCUGACACUCAUGCGUUGGUACCUGAUCCAUGCUCCCAUCCUUAGGUGGAACCUGUGUGGCAUUAGGUUGUCGUGCAGGGGAUGCCCAUUGUUUACUGUGAAAAAUUAGAGUGUUCAAAGCAGGCUUAUGCCGUUGAACAUAUUAGCAUGGAAUAAUAAGAUAGGACUUUAGUACUAUUUUGUUGGUUUGUGCACUAAAGUAAUAAUUAAUAAGGACAGUUGGGGGUAUUCAUAUCCCAUUGUCAGCGGUGAAAUUCUUAGAUUUUUGGACAACAAACUACUGCAAAAGCAUUUACCAAGGAUGUCUUCA